rnacentral:rRNA from 1 species
CCUACGGGAGGCUGCAGUGGGGAAUAUUGCACAAUGGAGGAAACCCUGAUGCAGCGACGCCGCGUGAGUGAAGAAGUAAUUCGUUAUGUAAAGCUCUAUCAGCAGGGAAGAAAAUGACGGUACCUGAGUAAGAAGCCCCGGCUAACUACGUUCCAGCAGCCGCGGUAAUACGGAGGGGGCCAGCGUUCUCCGGCUGUACGGGGGGUAAAGGGAGCGUAGACGGCAGUGCAAGUCGGCGGUGAAAGGCGGGGGCUCAACCCCCGAACUGCUCGGGAAACUGUACGGCUGGAGUGCAGGAGAGGUAAGUGGAAGUCGUAGUGUAGCGGUGAAAUGCGUAGAGAUUAGGAGGAACACCAGUGGCGAAGGCGGCUUACUGGACUGUAACUGACGUUGAGGCUCGAAAGCGUGGGGAGCAAACAGGAGUAGAUACCCGUGUAGUC